rnacentral:ncRNA from 1 species
GUAGGUGGAAUUUUAAGUCCACUGUUAAAUCCCACGGCUUAAACUUGGAGAGGCAUUGGGAACUGCCAAGCUGGAAUGCUGCAGGGGCAGAAGGAUUUCCAGUGGAGCAGUGAAAUGCAUAGAAAAUUAGAAGAAUACUAACGGCGAAAACCCUCUGCUCUUAGAUGUCAUGUUGGG